UGGGGAAUCUUGGACAAUGGGGGCAACCCUGAUCCAGCGACGCCGCGUGGGUGGUAAGGCCUUCGGGUUGUAAAGCCCUUUCAGCGGGGAAGAUGAUGACAUUACCCGCAGAAGAAGCGCCGGCUAACUCCGUGCCAGCAGCCGCGGUAAGACGGAGGGCGCUAGCGUUGUUCGGAAUCACUGGGCGUAAAGGGCGUGCAGGCGGCUCUGUGCGUCGGCGCUGAAAGCGCCCGGCUUAACCGGGCGAGGUGCGUCGAUACGAUAGAGCUUGAGGCAAGGAGAGGCUAGCGGAAUUCCGGGUGUAGUGGUGAAAUGCGUAGAGAUCCGGAGGAACGCCCGUGGCGUAAGCGGCUAGCUAGUCUUGACCUGACGCUGAGGCGCGAAAGCGUGGGGAGCGAACCGGAUUAGAUACCCGCGUAGUCC
rnacentral:rRNA from 1 species